GGUGGUGGGCACAAUUCAGUCCAUAACACCACCCAACUACCAGUUCCCUUCAUUCUCGGCUUAAUUUUUCUUUUUUUUCCGAGACAGAGUCUUGCUCUGUCGCCCAGGCUGGAGUGCAGUGGAGUUAUCUCAGCUCACUACAACCUCCAAACUUAAUUAUUUUUAAUGAAUAUUGAUAGACUGCGAGUUCCCUGAGGAUGGGGACAAUAUCUUAUUUCAUCUUAGGAUCCCUAAAACCUGGUACAGUAUCCAAUCCAGAAAACAUAUUAAGGAAAUGCUUGUUGGAUUGAACUGAAUGAAGCGUGUUUCUCCAUCUUUGUUACAGGCCUGGUUGACAGAUUUAUCACCCGUCACCUGGAAGAUUCUGAUAAUUUUCUAACUGGUCUAAAUGCCUCCGGUAUCUCCAAUCCCUCCUACACACUGACACAAGAAUGUUCUUCCUAAAACAAAGGUUGGAUCAACUCCUUGGUUUCCCUUGAAAAUCAUCAGUAGCUUUCCAUUGCUUAUAAGAUCUAGCCUAAAAAGUUACUGGGCCUUAAAAAAAAAAAAAAAAAGAAGCGUGACCCUCCUCUGGCCCUGAUUCCCUCUCAGGCUAAUCUACAUUCUUGCCUACACCUCCCCAACUCUGCCUUCUAGUGAUUUCCGAUGGUUCCUGCUACAUCAGAACUACCCCCCCCAUCAAUCCCUGGGUAACUUCAGAAUUCAGGGUUCCAGGUUCCCCCCUAAAGAAAUCAGUCUGGAGAAAGGCCUAGGAGUCCGUAUUUUAAAGGCCGCUGCAGUUGUGAGGUUUGGGAACUUCCAUUCCAGCCAGCACUCCUGCUCUACUCAUGGGUCCCAGAACACAUUCUGGACUCUUGGCCUUUCCCGUCGUCACUCACGCUCUUCCUUCAGCCUUGGGUUUUCAUUCCCCCUUUCCCUACCUUCCAAAUCCUAUCUGCUUUUAAGCUUUCACUGAAACAUCACCUCUCUUCAAAGCGCCCUUGGAUCCCCCAAAAAAGAACACCAGCUCUGGAAUCACCAGGACCUGGCUCAGAUCUCCACCCUGUAAUCAAAUGGCCAGCUAUCUGGGACAUUACUGUGUGGCCACUAGCAAAUUCAAAAUUACUAUGUGACUUGCAUUCCAUUUACUGAGGCCUCCCUUCCGGGCUUUGCUUCUGUUCUGGUAGAAGCUAUGUUUGGAUGCUGAAACCUUUAUUAUUUAUCAGGUAUCACUCCAGCUCACCAGCUCUUCCGUCUCUUCUGCUCCUGCCAACCCCACAGAGGACCAGCGUGAAAGGAGCUCAUUAGGCUAUUCAGGGCCUCCCUCAGACGGCAGAGGUGGCCAAGAACUCCCCGCCCCCAACCCCUGCCCAGGGUUACAUGAAGAUUUGAAAGCUCUAUUCUCCCCAAAAAACCACCUCUUCCAUCUGCACUGGAGGAUCCGUCCCUGAGCCCCUGGUCUCCCCAUCUCCUUUUUAGCACCCUCCUUGCCAUCACAACUAUCAUUCCCCUGCCAUCAUCCUCUACCUCUGCCCCAUCUCCAUUCUCACCACUCUCAUCACCACCGCCUCACACAGAACCACCUGCAUCCUUCUGCUCACCCAGUGGAUCCUCUUCUCCCGUCCCCAGGGAGGAACCCCAUCAGCAUUUGCUGCCUUUGAUGCUGCAUCCAACCUCUAAGCCC
rnacentral:lncRNA from 13 species